rnacentral:rRNA from 1 species
UACGUAGGGUGCAAGCGUUGUCCGGAAUUACUGGGCGUAAAGAGCUCGUAGGUGGUUUGUCGCGUUGUUCGUGAAAACUCACAGCUUAACUGUGGGCGUGCGGGCGAUACGGGCAGACUGGAGUACUGCAGGGGAGACUGGAAUUCCUGGUGUAGCGGUGGAAUGCGCAGAUAUCAGGAGGAACACCGGUGGCGAAGGCGGGUCUCUGGGCAGUAACUGACGUUGAGGAGCGAAAGCGUGGGGAGCGAACAGG